AUGGAGAUAGAAACCCGCCAGCCUGAACAACUGCAGAGUUUUCUGUCUUCCAGGAAGUCUGUGGAAUGCUUGUGCAGGACAGUUUCGCCCCCUGCUGGUCUGGGAGCACCAUGCAAGCCUCCUCUUCCAACCUCGUCUACGGAGCGCAAACUCAGGUGUCUGCACUUCCACAGGUGUGCAAUGCAAGGACUGCAGAGCCUUUGGGAACACCACAGGAAGCCUGAGCUGCCCCAUGAAGUGGUAAGAUGGGGCUCUGUGUCCUUAGCCCUUGGGCCAAAUAAAGAGAGGAACUUGGAACCAAAGAGCCCUGGAAGCUCUGGAACUCAGGAUCCUCUAACAAGACUGAAAGAGAGAAGAAACAAAGAUGAAAGAAAGUGUGGAAGCAUCCUAGCAGACCAAUGCCCCUCCAAAUUCCAAGAGGAAAUCUGUCUUAGAUCCUGUUCUCACAGGUCAGCCAACUCUCAAGAAAAGUGCCAUGAGAUGCCCUUCUGUGUCUCCUAUCAAAAAACUUCAACUAAACUUCUUUUUGCCUACUGGAUAAGAUAGUCAAGGAGUGGAUACCACAGAUUCCCUCCAGCCUACAUUCUGGUACUUUGGUCAGGACUUUACCCUCCUUGUUAAGCUCACAGACAAAGUGCCUAAUGUUGGCUCCCAUGAUGCUCCCCAGGCUGCCACCAAAGUACUUGGCCAUGGCCCUGCCCUAAAUCCACAGGUUCAAGCCAAGUAUCCUAUUGUGAAAUCAAAGCCAAACUUACAACCUGCCACACCUAUAUUUGGCCAGGAAUCCAAACUCUGCAUCUUGGUAACAGACAAGAGAACUGCCUGGAUCUCCUUGCAAGAUUGCCCCUGUCAGACCUCCAGGAAAGAACUCACAAACACACAGCAUACUAUAACAAACCUGUAACCACACAGUAGUUGCUGAAUAAAGUUUGUUUAAUGUAAAAACA
rnacentral:lncRNA from 1 species